ACUAGACUAGACUAUAAGAAGGCCACAUCACAACACUACACUGAAUUAGACUAGACUAUAAGAAGGCCACAUCACACCACUACACUGAACUAGACUAUAAGAAGGCUACACUGAACUAGACUAGACUAUAAGAAGGCCACAUCACACCACUACACUGAACUAGACUAUAAGAAGGCCACAUCACACCACUACACUGAACUAGACUAGACUAUAAGAAGGCCACAUCACACCACUACACUGAACUAGACUAGACUAUAAGAAGGCUACAUCACACCACUACACUGAACUAGACUAUAAGAAGGCUACAUCACACCACUACACUGAACUAGACUAUAAGAAAGCCACAUCACACCACUACACUGACCU
ensembl:lncRNA